CACUUUGAGGGUGGGGAGGAUGAGACAGGAAUGUGCUGACCGUGGUGGCUGAGAGGCUACAGGAGGCACUGAGGGGUGCUGGGGGCUUGAUGCCACCAAGGACCCCAGACCAAGUCAUCUUUUUUUUCUCGCUCAGCUUUGAAGGGAAGUUAAAGACAAAGAGGAAGAGGCUGUAUUUCAUUCUCCCAGAUGGCUCCUGCCAGCCUCCAGAGAAAAGGCAGCUUUCUUCUUUAGAAAAUUGGCAGGACAAAAGAAGGAAGUCGACUUGGAAAGUCCAGCGACAGACCUCGUGCCCCUGCUCUGGGAGGCCGCAGGUCAAUGGCUCCCCCUGGCUUCAGGGGACACAGCUCAAGCCUGGAAGGAGCCCAUGGCCAGCCUGAAAGCCUUGCUCACACCCAGCAUCCGCAGCUGGGGCAAGAGCGGCUACUCCCAAGACAGGAAAAGACACACAGCCUAACUUUGCCACUGUGAAGGGAGACUUCUCUCUAAUGCCUAACUAGACACUUAUCUUCCAACCUCCUCAAAAUGCCUUCAAUAGAAGUCCCAGGAAGACACGGAGCCCCAGCCGCCCACUGACUCCUACAGGAUGCAGCUGCGCCAGGCAGCCCAUCCCAGGGGGCCCAGGCCAAAGAGGGGCCAGGGUGCUUCCCCUGAGAAUGAAAAGGGAUGUCGGGUAGAGGGGGAGGGUGAUGUGGGACUCGCUGGUGGCUGUUAAAGGAGCUCGCGUCUCGGUUCCUGCAGGAAAAGUGCUUUGAGCACUCGCCUGGCCUGGUGAAGAAGGAAGGCAGUUGGCGGGCAUUUUUGGAAGCUCUCACCCCCCAUGCUGGUCCUGGUACCCCUUCUCCAGGGAUGCGGGGCCCACAUUCAUCACAGUGGGGUUCCAUAGAUGAUGGUCCUGUCAUAUCAGGGUUCCCAUUGAAGGGGGCCCUUUUUGGCACUUUCUUUUAUUCCAUUAGUCUGUUUGCCUGGUCACACAUUUUAUUGCUUUUUCCCGCAAAAGAAUCAAUGUGGGAAUUUAUUUAUUUAUUUAUUGAGACGGAGUCUCACUCUGUCACCCAGGCUGGAGUGCAGUGGUGCAAUCUCAGCUCACUGCAACCUCCGCCUCCCUGGUUCAAGCAAUUCUCCUGCCUCAGCUUCCCAAGUAGCUGGAAUUACAGGCAUCUGCCACCAUGCCCGGCUAAUUUUUUGUAUUUUUUGUAUUUUUUUUUUUUUCUGAGAUGGAGUCUCUCUGUGUUGCCUAAGCUGGAGUACAGUGGCGUGAUCUCAGCUCAUUGCAACUUCUGCCUCCCAGGUUCAAGCAAUUCUUCCUGCCUCAGCCUCCCAAGUAGGUGGAAUUACAGGUGCCCACUACCAUGCCUGGCUAAUUUUUGUAUUUUUUAGUAGAGACGGGAUUUCACCACAUUGGCCAGAUUGGUCUUGAACUCCUGACCUCAUGAUCCACCUACCUUGGCCUCCCAAAGUGCUGGGAUUACAGGUGUGAGCCACUGCACCUGGCUGAUUUUUUAUAUUUUUAGUAGAGACGGGUUUCACCAUGUUAGCCAGGAUGGUCGCAAUCUCCUGACCUCGUGAUCCACCCACCUUGGCCUCCCAAAGUGCUGGGAUUACAGGUGUGAGCCACUGCGCCCAGCCAGGAAUUUAUUUUUAAAUUAAAUUUGAUUUAUUUAGUUUCCUAACCCUUUUAUUGUUUUUAGGCAAUUUUUUGAAGUAUAAUAUGAAUAAGAAAAUUAUGGUGAAUUGUUACAGCAUCGAGACCUCCAAGACCAGGACAUAGAACAAUCCCAGCCCCCAGAAACCUCCACCCCAUAAGGCUCCACAACCCCUCUUCUAACACACAGAUUACCUUCAGCUCUUCUUGAACUUCAUAUAAGUGUGAAACUCACCCAUGCUGUUGAACACAGCACUGUUUCAUUCAUGUAAGCGGCCUUAUAGUAUUCCAUUAUGUGAACGCAGUUUAUUAUCCGUUCUGUUAAUCACAGUAGUUUUUACCUGUUGUGAGUAAGGGUGUCACAAACAGCCUCAUGUGUACUUUGUGGCAGAUGGAAUUCUUGUACAGAUGUGGAACAUACACUGGAUUUGAAGUGCUGGGUUAUAGAGUAUGCACAUGCUCAGCUUUAUCAAACAGGGCUUAACAGCUUUUCAGAGUGGCUGUGCCAACUCACACUCUCCAACAGUCUAUGGGAGUUCCAGUUGCCCCACACCCUUGCCACCACUUGCAAUUGUCAGCUGUAAAUUUUAGCCAUUUUGUCGGGUGUAUAUUGGUAUUUUAUUGUGUUUUUGAUACUCGUUGCUCCCGCAAUCGUUGAAGUUGAGCACGGUUGUAUAUGCUUAUUGGCAAUUUGGAUACUGUCUUUGCGUUUUCAAAAAUUGGGUUUUUGUCUUUUAUUGAUUUGUAGAAUUUCUUUAUUCUGAAUUUGAGUUCUUAGUUGUGCUUGUGUGUGUGCACAUAGUAAACACACACACAGGUUAAAAUAAUUGGGAGAUCAUUAGAAUGAGAUGACCCCAGCGCCUUGGGUUUCAACUCAAGCAAACCAAAGUCCAUCUCAGUGUACAUGGUUAUAGUUCAGGUAAGCAGAAACCACCGGCUGAUCUCUAACACGGGGCUUUUGACUGGAAUGAUUUCUUUCCCUUUCUUUCUCUUUCUUUCUUUCUCUCUUUCUCUCUUUCUUUCUCUCUUUCUCUCUUCCUUUCUUUUUUUCUUUCCUAUCUUUCUGCCUUUCUUUCCUUCCUUCCUUCCAUCCUUCCAUCUCUUUCUUUUUCUUUUCUCUUUCUUUUCUUUCUCUCCCUCUCUCUUUCUUUCCUCCCUCCCUUUCUUCCUUCCUUCCUUCUUUCCUUCCUUCCCUUCCUCCUUCCCUCCUUCCCCUCCCUCCCUAAAAUUCAUAGAAUAAAAAAAUGCCUGAAUAGCCAAAGUAAUCCUAAGCAAAAAGAACAAAGCUGGAGGAAUCACAUUACCUGACUUCAAAUUAUCUUACAAGGCUAUGGUAACCAAAACAGCAUGGUAUUUAGGAUUGUUUUCCCAAUUCUUUGAAAAGCGAUGUUGGUAUCUUCAUAGGAAUUGCAUUGAAUCUGUAGAUUGCUUUGGGUAGUGUGGUCACUUUCACAAUAUUGAUUCUUCCAAUCCAUGAUCAUGGGAUGUAUUUCCGUUGGUUUGUGUCAUAUACAAUUUCUUUCAGCAGUGUUUGCUAGGUCUCCUUGUAGAGAUAUUUCACCUCUUGGUCAAGUUAUUUCUAGUUAUUUUAUUUUACUUUUUGCAGCUAUUGUAAAAGAGCUCGGGUUCUUGAUUUGAUUCUCAGCUUGGUCAUUGUUGGUGUAUAGCGGUGCUACUGAUUUGUGUACAUUGAUUUUGUAACCUGAGACUUCACUGAAUUCAUUUAUCAGCAAUUCAUUCAUUUUUAGAGGAUACUUGGUCCAUGCACAUGUCAGAGAUUGUUGUAAUGUUUCUUUCUUGCAAUGAUCUCAUCACAUUUUAAUCACAAAGUCAGGCUAGUCUUUUAAAUAAAGUUGCAAAGCAUUAAUCAUU
rnacentral:lncRNA from 1 species